rnacentral:lncRNA from 1 species
UCCCCCAGUCCAGUUUGGCACUAGUGACAAGGACUCAGACUUACGCCUAGUGGUAGGAGACAGCUUGAAAGCAGAGAAGGAGCUAACAGCAUCAGUCACUGAGGUAAGUGGGAGUAAGAGUUUGGUGGAAAGGCCCAAGAUUUCUGGGGAAGAUUGCUGGGAGUGACCAGGGCGUCCAGGAUGCCAGACAUCCCUCUCCACGAGGCCUCUCCUUCCCAGGCCAUUCCUGUAUCACGAGACUGGGAGCUGCUUCCCAGUGCUGCUGCCUCUGCUGAGCCACAAUCCAAGAACCUGGAUUCUGGGCACUGUGUCCCGGAGCCCAGCUCCUCAGGCCAGCGCCUGUAUCC